rnacentral:rRNA from 1 species
GACGAACGCUGGCGGCGUGCUUAACACAUGCAAGUCGAACGGAAAGGCCCUGCUUUUGUGGGGUGCUCGAGUGGCGAACGGGUGAGUAACACGUGAGUAACCUGCCCUUGACUUUGGGAUAACUUCAGGAAACUGGGGCUAAUACCGGAUAGGAGCUCCUGCUGCAUGGUGGGGGUUGGAAAGUUUCGGCGGUUGGGGAUGGACUCGCGGCUUAUCAGCUUGUUGGUGGGGUAGUGGCUUACCCAGGCUUUGACGGGUAGCCGGCCUGAGAGGGUGACCGGCCACAUUGGGACUGAGAUACGGCCCAGACUCCUACGGGAGGCAGCAGUGGGGAAUAUUGCACAAUGGGCGGAAGCCUGAUGCAGCGACGCCGCGUGCGGGAUGACGGCCUUCGGGUUGUAAACCGCUUUCGCCUGUGACGAAGCGUGAGUGACGGUAAUGGGUAAAGAAGCACCGGCUAACUACGUGCCAGCAGCCGCGGUGAUACGUAGGGUGCGAGCGUUGUCCGGAUUUAUUGGGCGUAAAGGGCUCGUAGGUGGUUGAUCGCGUCGGAAGUGUAAUCUUGGGGCUUAACCCUGAGCGUGCUUUCGAUACGGGUUGACUUGAGGAAGGUAGGGGAGAAUGGAAUUCCUGGUGGAGCGGUGGAAUGCGCAGAUAUCAGGAGGAACACCAGUGGCGAAGGCGGUUCUCUGGGCCUUUCCUGACGCUGAGGAGCGAAAGCGUGGGGAGCGAACAGGCUUAGAUACCCUGGUAGUCCACGCUGUAAACGGUGGGUACUAGGUGUGGGGUCCAUUCCACGGGUUCCGUGCCGUAGCUAACGCUUUAAGUACCCCGCCUGGGGAGUACGGCCGCAAGGCUAAAACUCAAAGGAAUUGACGGGGCCCCGCACAAGCGGCGGAGCAUGCGGAUUAAUUCGAUGCAACGCGUAGAACCUUACCUGGGUUUGACAUGGAUCGGGAGUGCUCAGAGAUGGGUGUGCCUCUUUUGGGGUCGGUUCACAGGUGGUGCAUGCCUGUCGUCAGCUCGUGUCGUGAGAUGUUGGGUUAAGUCCCGCAACGAGCGCAACCCUUGUUCACUGUUGCCAGCACGUUAUGGUGGGGACUCAGUGGAGACCGCCGGGGUCAACUCGGAGGAAGGUGGGGAUGACGUCAAGUCAUCAUGCCCCUUAUGUCCAGGGCUUCACGCAUGCUACAAUGGCUGGUACAGAGAGUGGCGAGCCUGUGAGGGUGAGCGAAUCUCGGAAAGCCGGUCUCAGUUCGGAUUGGGGUCUGCAACUCGACCUCAUGAAGUCGGAGUCGCUAGUAAUCGCAGAUCAGCAACGCUGCGGUGAAUACGUUCCCGGGGCC